rnacentral:rRNA from 1 species
AGCGAACGCUGGCGGCAGGCCUAACACAUGCAAGUCGAACGAACCCUUCGGGGUUAGUGGCGGACGGGUGAGUAACACGUGGGAACGUGCCUUUAGGUUCGGAAUAACUCAGGGAAACUUGUGCUAAUACCGAAUGUGCCCUUCGGGGGAAAGAUUUAUCGCCUUUAGAGCGGCCCGCGUCUGAUUAGCUAGUUGUUGAGGUCAUGGCUCACCAAGGCUACGAUCAGUAGCUGGUCUGAGAGGAUGACGAGCCACAUUGGGACUGAGACACGGCCCAAACUCCGACGGGAGGCAGCAGUUGGGAAUCUUGCGCAAUGGGCGAAAGCCUGACGCAGCCAUGCCGCGUGGAUGAUGAAGGUCUUAGGAUUGUAAAAUCCUUUCACCGGUGAAGAUAAUGACUGUAGCCGGAGAAGAAGCCCCGGCUAACUUCGUGCCAGCCGCCGCGGUAACAC